rnacentral:miRNA from 1 species
CCUGGCACAUAGUAAGCACUUACUAAAUGCUUGCUGAGUGACAACCAAGAGCCAGGCA